AGAAGGAUGGCUUUCAUUUGCAGCUGGCACCAGAAUCAUUUUUAAGAGUGUGAGGUUUGGGUCUCAGAGCCACAUGGGAACAAAUCUCUAGGAUUAUCCAGCAUAGGUUCGUUAUGAUGGGAAGACCCUACGUGUAGGUAGUCCAGGAGUCCCAGACUGAAGAGAUGAAUAAAAAGAAGAGAGCAAGUGGACAGCGGUCCUGCCCACAAACGUGAUGUGAAGUGACCUGCCUCCCAAGCUCCUGCCGCUGUGUCUUCCCCACGAGGACAGACUCUGUCUCCGCCAAGUAAGACUCAUAAUAACCUCUUUAUUAAGCUGAUUUACUCAAGUGUUUUCUCACCCCAUCCAGAGAAGUAACUACAUAAUCUACAGAAAUAAAUAAACU
rnacentral:lncRNA from 1 species